CAGAGAGUCGAGAGAAGAUUGAAAAUGUACAAAGCAAAUUGAAAUGGACUAAUUUUCCAGGACUUCAACAGCUCUUCCUUAAGGGUUUUACCUCAGCAUCUACACAAGAAAUGACCGUGCACCUCCUCAGUAAACUCAUUUCUGUCUCCAAACAUACAUUGGUGGAUCCUUCCCAAUUGUCAGGUUUGUGCAGAAGAAAAAUGCCCAACACUUGUCAAUCUGGCACACAUGAUGAGUUUGUACAGUACGCACACAUAUUCCAGAGACUGUUCUAACUGGAUCAAUGUCGUGUGCAGAUACCUGCAUGACUCCUUCUCAGAUACAACAUUUAAUCUUGUGACUUAUCUUGCAGAGCUAUUAGAAAAAGGAUUGUCCAGUAUGCAGCAAUCAUUACUACAGAUUAUUUAUAGUCUGUUGAGUCAUAUUGACCUGUCUGCAGCCCCAGCCAAGCAGUUUAAUCUGGAGAUCAUAAAGAUUAUUGGCAAAUAUGUACAGAGUCCUUACUGGAAGGAAGCCCUUAACAUAUUAAAGCUGGUUGUGUCACGCUC
rnacentral:sRNA from 1 species